GACGGCCGCAUCACAUUGAAACACCAGUUCCCAUAAGAUUACCGAAGUUAAGCAACGUCAAUCUUGGUCAGUACUUAGAUGGGUGACCGCUUGGAUA